rnacentral:rRNA from 1 species
UACGAGGGGGGCAAAUGUUGUUCGGAAUCACUGGGCGUAAAGGGAGCGUAGGCGGGCUCUUAAGUUAGGUGUUUAAUCCCGGGGCCCAACCCCGGACAGGCUCCUAAAACUGGGAGUCUUGAAUAGUGGAGAGGACGGCGGAAUUGGGGGUGUAGCGGUGGAAUGCGUAGAGAUCCCCAAGAACACCAGUUGCGAAGGCGGCCGUCUGGACACAUAUUGACGCUGAGGCUCGAAAGCAUGGGGAGCAAACAGG